rnacentral:rRNA from 1 species
UAGGGAAUAUUGGUCAAUGGGUGAGAGCCUGAACCAGCCAUGCCGCGUGCAGGAAGAAGGCCUUCUGGGUUGUAAACUGCUUUUGCCAGGGGAUAAAAGGGUCGUGCGCGACACAUUGAAGGUACCUGGUGAAUAAGCCACGGCUAACUACGUGCCAGCAGCCGCGGUAAUACGUAGGUGGCGAGCGUUGUCCGGAUUUAUUGGGUUUAAAGGGUGCGUAGGCGGCCCUGUAAGUCAGUGCUGAAAUAUCUCGGCUUAACCGAGAGGGUGGCAUUGAUACUGCAGGGCUUGAGUACAGAUGAGGUAGGCGGAAUUGACGGUGUAGCGGUGAAAUGCAUAGAUAUCGUCAAGAACACCGAUAGCGAAGGCAGCUUACUGGGCUGUAACUGACGCUGAUGCACGAAAGUGUGGGGAUCAAACAGGAUUAGAUACCCCGGUAGUCC